rnacentral:tRNA from 1 species
GCGGCCGUGGCGGAAUUGGUAGACGCGCAGCGUUGAGGUCGCUGUGGGGUAACACCUGUGGAAGUUCGAGUCUUCUCGGCCGCACCA